UUUCACUCGUACCUGGUUGGCUCCUCCUGUCUGUCAAUCACGUCAAUAGCGCUGCUGAUUGGUUCAAUGAGCUGCUCGGGUUUGUUUGCACAGUUACAUGUUCAUCCAGCAUCGCGACCAAUACUAAAAUACGCAGACAUGAGAUCGCAAAGCAAACUGGUAAAAUCAAAGACUUCUCUCAGGGAGUUUGACACUACCUUUCAGGACUCAACCUCAACCUGUUGCUGGGAACGAGGCUAAAGCCUUUUGCCGCUGCUGGCGCGUACAUGUGUCGGACAUUACAGCGUUAAAAAAACGUCAAAGAAAACGCACGCACAACAUAAAGCCUCUAGCUCCAAAAAUGAAGGGACAAAAAAAGGACUGUUUAACUCAAAUAACGAAGCCGCUGUGUUAUUUCCUCAGGUUAUGGGCACACGUGGUUUUCAAAGUUGAUUUUAGUUUGUGAUAGUGGGUCAAAAUACGAGAAGUACCAUAUUCCCUCAUUUCCCAUCUGGCAACACUGGGUAGUAGUUAGCAGACACCUGCAUGUUGUUCUCAGGUAUGUCACGUAUGGGCCUGCGGAAAGUAAAACUGCUGCUCAUUUAGGACAAAUACUCCUGUCUCGUCUGUUCUUACACCUGCGACAUGGUGUCAGUAGUCGGAUCUUAAUCUGCUGAGCGACACGCAUGCCUGCAUCGCCUGAAAGCAAACACGAAAGGCACAAUGCUAACGCGUUAGCAUUAAGGACGAGCCUAAUUCCUGGACGUGUUACAUCUUUACACGGCGAAUUCCCAAUUCGUAUUGUGAGGCUUCUACCCGACAUGUCAGUGGGAACAAUGUGCACAUACUAAGAGUGUUCUGGGACAACAUGGCCUCUCAUCAACAAUCAUAGCAGACUGUGGUACACAGUACUUAAGUGAGGAAUUCAGAAGAUGUGUAGAAUCAAACAUCAUUUUGAAAUUCAGCUCUUUUUACCAUCAUCAGGCCAAUAGCACUGCUGAAAAAGGGAGCGUUGAAGCGCUAUGGAGGAAGGAAGAAGCACUUAACAACAGCUUGCCAUCACCGUAUGAGCUACUGUAUGGGAGGAAGCCAAGGUCCAUACAAGUGUAUGUGAGGAAUACACUCAAGAGUGUAUGGGAGCCAGGUAGCGUCUGCCCACUGAAUGAUUGACCCACAAGUUAUGUUUUGCUAUAGAAGAAGGGGAUGUCAUAAUAUUAGCAACGUGUUCAAACAUCAAAUGGUUAAAGAUAAAUUCAUGUGUGUAAAGAGUAAAAGUAAAACGAUAGCGAGAAAACGCCACUAGGUGGUAUUAAAGGUUAGCAGAUACCUGUAGGUUGUUGUUCUGAGGCAUGUCACGUAUCCACCUGGGAAAAAGCUGCUGCUCAUUUUGGACAAAUAUUCCUGCCUCGUUUUUUAAUAUGCAGCAGUGGGUGACGUGCAGAUAUAUUUAAUAUAUUUACCUUAUAUGUACUUAGACGUAGACGAUUUCAGGGUUUUUGCUGUUUUAAAAACACGGCUGUUGAUCAUAAAGCAAAAUAUGGCGGAUCUCCAUUCUGUCCUUUCAGCUUUAGGGUCCAUUUAAUGUAAAUGCUGGUUCAUGUAAAUUCUUUUAAAUCACGAACAGUCCCAUCUGACAGAAGCUGUCCCGAGCCUCUUUCCUGUGUUAUUUCUACGACACCCUGCUGACACCCGCUCCACAGCUCACCCUCUCUGGGGAUCGGUGCACGGUCAUUCCCCUCCCUGUGCCACUGCACAGCCUUCAAGGGAACCAGGGUGUCUGUAGAGGAUGGGGUUUAGGGUGAGAGGGGUGUCGUGGGGAGUCUACAGUAGUCAUGGAUGUGAAAGUCCUGGCAGGAAAGCUGGAGAGCUGGAUGAUGCUGGUGCUGCGAGCAGGGGAGGUAGUGGUGAUCUGAAGCAGGGUGGGGCCGUGCCACCUCAGGUACAUGGUCACCUGGAAGAAGGGGCCUUGAGAUCCAUCUACUGGAGGCUGGAGAGCGAACAAAAGCACCAUCUGCACCUGCAGCAGAGUGAACACGUCACCCACUGAAAAUUGGUUCCCGAGGCCGAGAGAGGGCUCAUCAGAACCAAAACUGGAGCAAGGCUGUUUAUCACUGAGCCUCCACUAGCUGCCAAGACCUCUGCUAUCAGCACCUCAGGGUGGCUUUUGGCCUAGUGAGCAAUGAAAGAAUUUUUUUUUCUGGUUGAAGUCUUCUGCAUCGUGCUUCUGCAUCUGUCUGUUUACAGAGGCCCUGUGACGGCAGCUGAAGCCACAGAUCUCACACCCGCUACAAGCUGGAGACAGAGGAGAGCUUGAAGCCUCACUGCAAUUAUCCCAAGAACCCAUGAUCAGCUUCAGAUAUCAUACAGAUAUGAAAGAAGUUGGCAAACAUGUGUCACAUUCAGUAAAUGGUGUUGCCAUCUUUACUGGCAUCAGAUUCCUCACAUGGCAAUCUGCUGAACAACAAAACCAAAUUACGCAUCUGGGCAUUUCUUUUCUACCCAACGCCUUUGGACUUGACAACCCCAUAAUUAGCACAUUGUCAAGUGUGAUGUGCUUUGCUGAACUACAUUCUUAAAGAGUUUUAGUAAUUACAUAAAGAGAAGUAACUAAGAAUUGAAUAGCGUCAGAGAUGUCACACGAUUAAUGCAGUUAAACAAGAUCAACAUUUCAAACAUCUUUGUUUUGUAUCCAUCUUUUCAGUCUAACUGUCUCCAGGCUACAGCUGUAACAAAUAAAUAAGCAUGCAGUCGUCCUUA